UACAGCAACUCAGAGGAAAAAAACUGGAAAAUAAGUCCCUGAUGUAAAACUGGUAACUGAGCCAAAACAGUAGUGCCAGUUAUUUCAGUGCCUCACACAGUGAUUUACGAAUUCACUGCAAACACAUUUAACAAUUUAUUGGGACAAGUGUGCAUAUUAACCAGCUCUCUUGAAACCUUGGAUGCAAACUUCUUUUGAUGAUAUUUUCCCUUUUAAUAUUUUACAGAGAGGCAUUAGAAGGUAGCAGUAGGCAAGGCUUGUCUUUGCAUCAUACUUUUCAGUGCCACCCAUGAGUUUAUCCCUUCAGCUUCUGUGGUAUUAUUUUAUUUGGGAAAAUAUUUGCAAUGUCUCAUGGAAAAAUGAAUGUCUAUAGGACUGAUCUGAAUCCUAUAGAUGUGUAAUCCAUUUUUUUUUUUUUCUUCACAGAGAUGUAUUGCUCAUGCAUGUUCCUAUGUGGUUCUUUUAGGCUGCUGAAGAGUGGGAGAAGCAAUUUGUAGAUAGCAUCACAGUUGGUCUUCCAGCCUUUGCCUUCUUCUUUUAUUAUUUUUUUCCUAAUUGGCACAGAUUCAGCCUGUAAGACUUACAAGGAAAGACACAGCUGAAAUGAGGAUUGAGAGAUGCAAGCAAGGACAACAGACAACAUUUUAGGAAAUGUCUGCUAAUUUCUUGACCUUAGAACAGCUCAUGCAGAUAGGAUCCUUUUAUUUUAGGCAAGCAUUUGCUUAAUUUUUGAAUAGCUUCUAUCCCUUGUCCAAUAAGGGGUUUUACAAAUCAUUCUUGUGUAGAUGGUAAAUGCAGAAGCUCUAUCCAACCUUUCAAACAAUGUAUGAGACACUGAAGUAUCUUCUGACUGGGGAAUGUUACAGCUGUGUUUCUGCUAAACCUGCAGUGAAGAAGGACCAAAUACAACCUACAGAAUUUCUAAAGAGAUUCAAGAGUAGAUCACUGAAUGAGUUGGAUGGAGGCCACCUCUUGUCUCCAAGGCAGAUGGAUGGAUGGGAGGAAAUGCAUUUAAGACAAGUUCCUUUGCAUUCAUUUGGGAGGAAGGAAGUCAGCCCCCGGUGGACUCAGCUUUCAACCCCCAUAAGCACACUUUUGCCUCACAAGAACAAAUGCUCCUCCACCAAUGAUUUCAAAUCCUGUUCACACAUUUGUUUUGCGUCUUCAUAA
rnacentral:lncRNA from 1 species